AAUGCCAAAAAGACCAUCUUAUGCCCCAUCUCCCACCCCAGCUUCUGCAACACAGAUGCCCAGCACACCAGCGUUUGCAGGAUACAAUCCAUACUGUCAUCUUGCCUACAGCAACUACAGGCUGGGAGGGAACCCAGCCACCAACAGCCGGGUCAGGGGGUCCUCCAGUAUUACGAUUCCAAAACCCCCAAAGCCACCAGAUAAGCCGCUGAUGCCCUACAUGAGGUACAGCAGAAAGGUCUGGGACCAAGUAAAGGCUUCCAACCCUGACGUAAAGUUGUGGGAAAUUGGCAAGAUUAUUGCUGGCAUGUGGCAAGAUCUUGCUGAUGAAGAGAAACAAUAUUUAAACGAAUAUGAAGUAGAAAAGAUAGAGUACAAUGAAUCUAUGAACGCCCAUCAUAAUUCCCCCGUGUACCUCGCUUACAUAAAUGCAAAAAGUCUUGCAGAAGCUGCUUUAGAGGAAGACAGUCAACCCAAACAGUCUCACAUGGAGAAAGGAGAACCUUACACGAGCCUUCUCUGCUGAAGAUCAGUUGAUUAUGAUGAUGGCUUUUCAAUGAAGAUACAGCCACCGUCCGUUUCCAGAGAAACCGCCGCCUCAUCAGUGAAAUCCUUAGUGAGAGUGUGGUACCAGAGGUUCAGUCAGUUGUCACAACAACUAGAAUGCAGGUCCCCAAACAACAGGUCCAGUCCUUAAUGGUUCAUCAGCGAAAACUAGAAGCUGAACUUCUUCCAAAAGAGGAUCGACACCAGGAGAAGGCGAAAUUCCUGGAAAGCACAGAUUCAUUUAACAAUGAACUUAAAAGGUUGUGUGGUCUGAAGAUAGAAAUGGAUCUGGAGAAAAUUGUAGCUGAGAUGGCACAGGCAGAGGAACAGACCCACAAAAGGCAGGAGGAAAGGGAGAAGGAGGCAGCAGAGCAAGUUUAGUGCAGUGAGAGCAGCAUCAUUCCUGAGGAAGAGCCAGUGGCCAACAAAGGCGAGGAAAAAAAAGACAAUGAGAACAUUCCAAUAGAGACAGAGGAGACACGCCUUGAAGAAACAACAGAGCCAACAGAACGGUGAAGAAGGCAAAUCUACUGAGGACAAGGAGAGUGGGCAGGAGAGGGUCGACAGUAUGGCAGAGGAAGGAACCAGUGACAGUAACAUUGGCUCAGAGAGAAAUGGUGCAACAGUGGAGGGGCCACCAAGAGAUCCCAUACUAGAAGAUGAGAAAAAAGAG
rnacentral:lncRNA from 1 species